rnacentral:rRNA from 1 species
GACGAACGCUGGCGGCGUGCUUAACACAUGCAAGUCGAACGCUGAAGCUUGGUGCUUGCACUGGGUGGAUGAGUGGCGAACGGGUGAGUAAUAAGUGAGUAACCUGCCUUUGACUCUGGGAUAAGCCUGGGAAACUGGGUCUAAUACUGGAUAAGACAUGUCACCGCAUGGUGGUGUGUGGAAAGGGUUUUACUGGUUUUGGAUGGGCUGACGGCCUAUCAGCUUGUUGGUGGGGUAAUGGAUCACCAAGGCGACGAGGGGUAGCCGGCCGGAGAGGGUGGCCGGCCACCCGGGGACUGGGACACGGCCCAGACGGCUACGGGAGGCAGCGGUGGGGAAGAUUGCACAAUGGGCGGAAGCCUGAUGCAGCGGAGCCGCGUGAGGGAUGACGGCCUUCUGGUUGUAAACCUAUGUCAGCACGGAAGAAGCGAAAGUGACGGUACGUGCAGAAGAAGCGCCGGCUAACUACGUG